rnacentral:misc_RNA from 1 species
AUAGAGGAAUGAUAUGUUUUCCUGGAAAGAAUGCGAAAAGAAGGUUAUUUUAACUAGAAGGAAGCAAGAACACACUAUAAAAAUGUAAGAAAUCUGUAACUACGAUAAACCAUAAUCUAUUUGGACUUCUUAUAAAUUUGUUAUUGUGAACAUCAAACAGUCGUAAAAUUUUGAUGGUUUCAUGAUUGGAUGCAAAAAAUCAUUCUAACAUAUCUAUAUUGAAAAAAAUAAAAAAAACUUUGCACAACAUGUUUCAUUAAACUAAUAAAAACAAACUCUCCACCAUCAAAACGAACUCAGAUUAGAAUUAAAGAGCUAAAAGCAACAAACCCCAUGAAGCUCAAGUUGAUUUUUUGUUUUCUAAGAGCCAAAAGAUAAAUGGAAGUCACCAAACUCUCCAUUGGAUGAAUUAGACCUCAAAUAAUAAUAUAGAAAGUGUUGGAAAACCUGAGAUGAAGGAACUCCGUGAA